CAGCUGGGAACACUCUCAUCUGCGGGCACAUCUAUUUUCUGAGUCUGGCAUCAACAGGUCGCACACUCUGCAAAGGUUUUCCUCCUCCGUCGGCACAGGAGAGCAGUUACAGCAUGAACACCUCCAAUUUCCAAAGGCCUGUUUUGCUGCCUUUGAGAAAAGGCAGCGCAGCGAAUGUAAAGCUGUGUGAUAACAGGGCCAUUCGCCACAGUACUGAGUUUGACCCUGCAACCAGCCUCCAUGACGGAUGUGAGAUGAUUCCUAGCCCUCAAGCUCAGCAAGACACACUCAGCACAACUGAAAUACACCCUCUCAAUCUCUCUCCCACUUCCCUGUUUUAUUCUCCAUCUCUCUCUCUCUGUCUCUCUGUCAGUCUCUGUUACUCUACAGAUUGACUGCAUGCUGUACGUUGUCUAUUUAAAGCUGGUGCCAUAACCACCCACUGCCGCUUUAAAAAGUGGUGACUCACCUAAACAUAUCAGCCCAGUAGACUCUGUGUGUGUGUGUGUGAGUAUGAGGGGAUGUUAUAUCAUCUCAGCUUUAGUUCUACUUUUCUCUGGCCUUCUCUGUUUGGUGACAAGUGCAGCUGUUUUCUAACGAUAGCACUCGUCUGUGCGUCAAACUGGUAUCUGCAGGAUCCACAGAUUUAUGCAAAAACACACAUACACACUCUCUCUCUCUCUCAAACACAUACACUCUCAAACACAAUCUGUGCACUUAGUGUUACUGAGUUAUGUGCUAUUCUGGGUGCAUCCAGGGGACUUCCAGCUUAUGGGAAAAGCAAAUGAGCAAAUUUGCAUUUUCUCUAAUUUGCCCAGUAAUGGGAUAUAUGUAAGGGACUAUAUAAGUGCAAAAUGAAGUGUGGAUGAAGGUUGUGUGUCUGGGAAGACUAGGUAUGGCUGCCAAUUAGAGACAAAAAGGGCAAUACAUAUGACGUGUUCUGUAUCUGUGGCAAGAGCUUCCAGGCAGCCAGGCUGAGCAGUUUUCACUGCCACGGUUUUGAGUCUCCCCCUCACUUCUCUGCAUUAUUAAAUAUUCCCUAAAUAAUUCACUGCCUUCUGUAUCAAACAAAUAUUUUUACAACUUUCACCUACAAAUAGGUGAAGGGAGAACUACUGUACCGUAUUUAGUCCUAUGGAAGAUGAAAUUCUGGUUAAGUGUUUGUGUUUGUUUCUAAUCUGAAUUCUGUGUCUAGCUGGAGGCAGCAGUGUGAACAACACUGCAAGUGGGCUGCUCUUUGCUGCUGAAUGCCAUGAGUCAUGUCCUGAUGUAGAACUUUCACUGUCUCCUUGUCUCCUGUGACAUAAAAUAUAAUAUCAUUCAGCUGGCAGUGCUAUAUGCUUCUUUAAUGUUGACUCCAGUGAGCCCCACUGAGUUACAUGGCAGCCCAUGUGCCUAUAUAUUUAUACUAUAUGAUUUCUCAUUAUGAUACUUUUAUGUGUUGUCUCUAUUUCAUAUUGCAUUUGUAUGUAAUGACCAGGUAAUACAUACAGUGUAUUACUCUGCUCAUAUGUGGUCUUAUGGGAGGUUUGGAUUACUUUGCUGUGUUCUUUGCUUCACAGUUAUUUCAUAGUUAAAACAGACUUCGCUGAUGUGAUAAAUGAUCUCAUAACCACAACUUAAAAUGACAAAGUGUGUUGCUACAGUAUGUUACUAUGCAAACAUUGUGUGGCGAAACUUUUCAGAUGCUGCCUGAGCGAUGAUAGGCAGCGUCUAAAUCCCAGUGAUGACGCCGCGAUGUCAUGGCGGCGAGGACUGACUCGUGUGCUGACUUGUUAGUCAUGCUUUGAUGCACAGUUUAAAAAGGACUCCAGGAAGCCUGGCACAUGCGCAUGCGCUCCACAGACACACACACACACACUUGCAGACACACAUGCUGUUUUGCACAUUUGCACAAAGGACACACAGCCGCUGAGUGCUUAAAAGGAAAGCAGCUGCAUCAUUUGGUAGUCUGACAUGAAUCCUUGGUUGUGUGUUUCUAUGACGUGACUUCAGAACACAGUUACAGAAUUCAAACACACUGUCAACAUUAACACAGCAAUAAAUACACAUCACCACAGAAUAAUCAGGACAUGCUUCAUAAAAAUCUCAAAAGAUAAAAGAUCUAAAAGAUCUCCUGGCUUUGAGAUAAAUAGCAUGUGUUAUAUUUUAUCAUAUCAUAGUCUACUGUUUUAUUCAUGACUCUGCUUUUAAAAUGUAAGCUAAAACAUGACAGGUGACACAAUUAUUGGUUUGCACUUAAAAAGCUUAUGGAAAUUCCUCAUGUUUUAAGUUAAAACUCAAAACCUAUUUUACAUAAAUUAGCAAAAAAGAUUAAAAAAUAAAAUAAAAAUCACUCAUCCAAAUUAUGAUUUAAAUAUUAGGCCUCUAGUCUCUUUGGAACUUUUGUGAAGCCUGAACCAUCAUAAUGUUCCCUAUAUGGCUAUAUGGCUGCACACAAAGUCAAAAACUAGUUAAAACACAUAUAUGAAACUUUUUCAGUACAUGUAGCAUAAAAGUUUUAGUCCAGGGCAGGGGUAGGGGAGAAGUGACUUGGAAAAAAGAGAAUAUAUUUUAGUUAUAGCUAUAUUUAAUAGUAUAAUAAAUAUUGCUUUGUUGAAAAUAUUUUUACAUCUGAAAAUUAGAAAAAAGAAGUCCAUCAUCUAUGUAAUAAUGUCCACUUAUAUUAAACUAGCUGUGAGCUAUGAAAUUAAAUUGACAACAUACACUGUAAAAAGAAAGUUAUGUAUUACCAAAAUAGAUAUUAUUAUUAUUUACUCUACUGUUGCUCAUUACUUCUAGUGGGAAAAAUGCACUUAUUGUAAUGGUUAGACAGUCUGAAAAUAAUUAUAAUUUCUUCUGACCAGCUUUUCUCUGUAAUGCUGCACCUCUGUUCAAAUAUAACAUGUUUAGUAAUGCAGAUAGUUUUUGGAAAAAUAAGUUUUUAAGAAAUGUAAAAAUUGAUAAGACCAUAAAUAACCAACAAAUAAUCAGAGGCAGUGGUACAGUUCAUUAAAUAGAUUGUCAUGUUAUUUUGAUAUGGGUGCAAUACCAGGAAGCAUACUGCUAAAAAUAAAACGGACACAUUUUUUUCUUAAAUACCCCCCAAAACAUGUAAGUCAUACAUUCAUUUAGAUGUUUUUGGGGGGUUAAUGUAUAUUUUUACAUUGUAUUUUAUUUUGCUUUUAUGUCUUUUUUUUUUUAAAAUAUAAUGUAAAUCAUGCCCUUAAUGGGAAAUGCUAUUUUUUUCAUUGGAAAUUACAACAUUCAUGUAUGCAAAACAAUGCAUGAAAGAUCGUUAAUUAAGACCUUUAAUUAUGUUUGAUAUAUUUUUAAAUAAAUAGACAUUAAGUGAAACUAACUUAUCAUUACAGCUGUUUUUCAGGCCAGUGUGUAUGCGAACCAUACUGGCCUGAUGCCAAAUAUUUGGAAGCAGAGCUCUACACGGUCCAUUUAUUAGAAAGGUGCUGGCUCAUUAUUUAGCAAGACUCCAGCAAAUGCUCCGCAGCUGCAGCCGCUCUCUCUUCGCAUGCAAUAAAGUUUGCUGCCUCAUGUGGGGGAUCUCUCCCUCUUUUUGAAGCAGACUUUUUUGGUCCAUAAUUUAUACAUUUACCUUACUUGCUUCUGCGUGCGUUAGCCUCCUGCAUUUUUUAAAGGCCGGGUAUUGAGGGAUUUUCUGUCAUGCUCUCUUGCUUUGUUCUGAUCACGCAAGCUGCUGCCAUCCCACAUACAGGAACACUGGUGAAAAACAGAGGCCUAAGUCAUGUCACCUAGCUGGAACAGAAGCACACAUGUGCAUAAAUACACAGGCACGGUGUCAUACUAAACAAACAGCCAACACGCACAGAGAGAGGAAGGCCCACUCCCUUCAGCUAAGACUCUGGGAGAAACUGUCGUGCCAUCGCAUGAGUGUUUUUCACAGAAGCACACACCGGACUGAGCCAUCCAUGUGUGUCUCAGCAAGCAAAGGGGUGUUGAGUCUUCCUCUCACACCCAUGCAUGCAGAAGCAGUCCACAUCCUCUGCUCCCUGAGGAGGACACAUGGCAGACAAAAAUAGAGAAAGAGGGAGAGCCCGAGAUGAACAGAUUAAGGAAAGAGGGAGAUAGUUCCUGGAUAAAGUUCUACCAUUGAAUUAUUCUCUCUUUCUACAGUACCUCACACUAAAAAUAGAAGAAAAAAAAUGUAAACAAACAUAACAUUUGUUAUCAUUUCAGCCACUACACUUUAUGAAUUCCUGUAAAGUGGUACAUAAAUUUACCCAUUUCCUCUUACGUAUGCGUUUUACUAUGUGGGAUUUUUGUGGUGAAUAUAUUAGCGAAUGACAGGAGAUUAUUUAAUGGUUAAGUCAUAGAAGGUUAUGUGGUUCAACCCAACUGAUGUUAAUCUGAUUAUUAACAGACAGACUGUAAGCAGCUAACUGUAUGCCACUGCAACAGGUUCGGCACACAAUUAGAAAAAUCUAAAAUUACUACACAUCUUAAUUUUUGAGUUUUUUUCAAGCUUAUAUUAUAAUGCAUUGUCUGACAUUUCUAUAUACGCAGUGCAUUUUUUUCCAUUUUGUUUUAUUUAUUAAGUAAUGUUAAACUGCAUAAAUCUUCACCAAAUAAAAUUAAAUGAAAUGUUUUAUUAUAAUGUAUUACAUUACUCUCAGUGUGCUUUGGUAUACAAAACUGUCUUCACAGUUUGUUUGUAAAACUUUCUUGAUAUUCAACUGCAGUUGAAUAUCAAAAUAACCCAGCUGAUGUGAUAUGCAGUCAUUUCAUCUUCUGUACUGUGUUACAGUCAUUAUCACACCAUGCACAAAAAUAAAUGAGAGAUAAAUGACUUUA